CACACACACACACACACAUAAAAAUGUAAUUUUAUCCAUAAUUUAUGUGUAAAAGAUUUUUAUUUUAAAUAUUAAUUUACUCAACAUAGGCAAUAAAUGAAACGGCCGAUGUCUAGAUUUGAAGUACCAGUCACUCAUCAGAGGGUUUAUGUAAAUACGUUAGCUACAAUAUAAAGGUAACCACCACAGUCAGUGGGGAUUUAAAAUGAAGUUGGGGAGUGUCAGAUGCCUGACUUAGCCCAUACAAGAAUGAUUGGAGGAGCAUAUGACUUGUGGAGUGUGGUAAUAGUUAGAACCUGAAGGAUGAUCAUGAAACAUUCCCGACUGACUAGCUCACCUGAAACAUCAGAAAAGAAAGGAUAUACACACAACAACAGCUAAAGGUUAGGUGAAACUGCAUAUUUUUGUCUGAUUUACUUAAGUUAUUAGAUUCCAACUUUCAACCAAAAAGUUUGAGCCACCAAACUAUAAUACCUUUCCAGGAGGAGCAAGAGUUUAGUCAGCAGGAAUGUGAUGGCAGUAAAACAAAAAACUCAUGUGCUGUAUCCCUUUCUUCUCUCACCCGCCCACUGCUCCAUGAUUCUUUCUUACCAUAGGAGAGUCAUAUGCGAAUACUGAAUUCUUAAAGAAUUCUUGCUGUGAUUUCAACUGCAGAUUGCGAGUGGAAGGCUCAGCUAGGAAACAUCUGCGCUGCUUCAUUU
rnacentral:misc_RNA from 1 species